GGAAAAGAAACCAACAGGGAUUGCCUCAGUAACGGCGAGUGAAGCGGCAAAAGCUCAAAUUUGAAAUCUGGCUCUUUCAGGGUCCGAGUUGUAAUUUGUAGAAGAUGCUUCGGGUGUGGUCCCGGUCUAAGUUCCUUGGAACAGGACGUCAUAGAGGGUGAGAAUCCCGUAUGUGACUGGGUACCUACGCUCAUGUGAAGCUCUUUCGACGAGUCGAGUUGUUUGGGAAUGCAGCUCAAAAUGGGUGGUAAAUUUCAUCUAAAGCUAAAUAUUGGCCAGAGACCGAUAGCGCACAAGUAGAGUGAUCGAAAGAUGAAAAGCACUUUGGAAAGAGAGUUAAACAGUACGUGAAAUUGUUGAAAGGGAAGCGCUUGCAAUCAGACUUGCGCCUAGUUGAUCAUCCGGGCUUCUGCCCGGUGCACUCGAUUAGGCUCAGGCCAGCAUCGGUUUGGGUGGCUGGAUAAAGGCCUGGGGAACGUAGCCUCCUUCGGGGGGUGUUAUAGCCCCAGGUGCAAUGCAGCCUACCUGGACCGAGGACCGCGCUUCGGC
rnacentral:rRNA from 1 species